rnacentral:rRNA from 1 species
UAACUGAAGAGUUUGAUCAUGGCUCAGAUUGAACGCUGGCGGCAGGCUUAACACAUGCAAGUCGAGCGGGGGAAGGUAGCUUGCUACUGGACCUAGCGGCGGACGGGUGAGUAAUGCUUAGGAAUCUGCCUAUUAGUGGGGGACAACAUCUCGAAAGGGAUGCUAAUACCGCAUACGUCCUACGGGAGAAAGCAGGGGAUCUUCGGACCUUGCGCUAAUAGAUGAGCCUAAGUCGGAUUAGCUAGUUGGUGGGGUAAAGGCCUACCAAGGCGACGAUCUGUAGCGGGUCUGAGAGGAUGAUCCGCCACACUGGGACUGAGACACGGCCCAGACUCCUACGGGAGGCAGCAGUGGGGAAUAUUGGACAAUGGGGGGAACCCUGAUCCAGCCAUGCCGCGUGUGUGAAGAAGGCCUUAUGGUUGUAAAGCACUUUAAGCGA